rnacentral:rRNA from 1 species
UGGGGAAUAUUGGACAAUGGGCGAAAGCCUGAUCCAGCAACGCCGCGUGGAGGAUGAAGGCCUUCGGGUUGUAAACUCCUGUCAGGUGGGACGAAAAGGGCUUGGUCAAUAGCCUUGCCCGCUGACGGUACCACCGGAGGAAGCCCCGGCUAACUCCGUGCCAGCAGCCGCGGUAAUACGGAGGGGGCGAGCGUUAUUCGGAAUUAUUGGGCGUAAAGGGCGCGUAGGCGGCCUGGCAAGUCAGGGGUGAAAUCCCUCGGCUCAACCGAGGAACUGCCUCUGAAACUGCCAGGCUCGAGGCCGGGAGAGGGUAGUGGAAUUCCCAGUGUAGCGGUGAAAUGCGUAGAUAUUGGGAGGAACACCAGUGGCGAAGGCGGCUGCCUGGACCGGUUCUGACGCUGAGGCGCGAAAGCGUGGGGAGCAAACAGGAUUAGAUACCCCCGUAGUCC